rnacentral:rRNA from 1 species
UUUACGGGAGGCAGCAGUGAGGAAUAUUGGACAAUGGAGGCAACUCUGAUCCAGCCAUGCCGCGUGCAGGAUGACGGCCCUAUGGGUUGUAAACUGCUUUUAUGUAGGAAGAAACACUCUCACGUGUGAGAGCUUGACGGUACUACAAGAAUAAGGACCGGCUAACUCCGUGCCAGCAGCCGCGGUAAU